GAUGAACGCUGGCGGCGUGCCUAAUACAUGCAAGUCGAGCGAACAGACGAGGAGCUUGCUCCUCUGACGUUAGCGGCGGACGGGUGAGUAACACGUGGAUAACCUACCUAUAAGACUGGGAUAACUUCGGGAAACCGGAGCUAAUACCGGAUAAUAUAUUGAACCGCAUGGUUCAAUAGUGAAAGACGGUUUUGCUGUCACUUAUAGAUGGAUCCGCGCCGCAUUAGCUAGUUGGUAAGGUAACGGCUUACCAAGGCGACGAUGCGUAGCCGACCUGAGAGGGUGAUCGGCGACACUGGAAGUGAGACACGGACCAGACUCCUACGGGAGGCAGCAGUAGGGAAUCUGCCGCAAUGGGCGAAAGCCUGACGGAGCAACGCCGCGUGAGUGAUGAAGGUCUUCGGAUCGUAAAACUCUGUUAUUAGGGAAGAACAAAUGUGUAAGUAACUAUUCACGUAUUGACGGUACCUAAUCAGAAAGCCACGGCUAACUACGUG
rnacentral:rRNA from 1 species